rnacentral:rRNA from 1 species
UACGUAGGGGGGCAAGCGUUGUCCGGAUUUAUUGGGCGUAAAGAGCGUGUAGGCGGCUUUACAGGUCCGUUGUGAAAACUCGAGGCUCAACCUCGAGACGCCGGUGGAAACCGUAAGGCUAGAGUCCGGAAGAGGAGAGUGGAAUUCCUGGUGUAGCGGUGAAAUGCGCAGAUAUCAGGAAGAACACCCGUGGCGAAGGUGGCUCUCUGGGACGGUACUGACGCUGAGACGCGAAAGCGUGGGGAGCGAACAGG